GACGAACGCUGGCGGCGUGCCUAAUACAUGCAAGUCGAACGCGUCUCCGUUAAUGAUUUUAGGUGCUUGACACUUGAAAGAUUUAACAUUGAGACGAGUGGCGAACUGGUGAGUAACACGUGGGUAACCUGCCCUUGAAGUAGGGGAUAACACUUGGAAACAGGUGCUAAUACCGUAUAACAACCAAAACCACCUGGUUUUGGUUUAAAAGACGGCUUCGGCUGUCACUUUAGGAUGGACCCGCGGCGUAUUAGCUUGUUGGUAAGGUAACGGCUUACCAAGGCGAUGAUACGUAGCCGACCUGAGAGGGUAAUCGGCCACAUUGGGACUGAGACACGGCCCAAACUCCUACGGGAGGCAGCAGUAGGGAAUCUUCCACAAUGGACGAAAGUCUGAUGGAGCAACGCCGCGUGAGUGAUGAAGGGUUUCGGCUCGUAAAACUCUGUUGUUGGAGAAGAACAGGUGCCAGAGUAACUGUUGACAUCUUGACGGUAUCCAACCAGAAAGCCACGGCUAACUACGUGCCAGCAGCCGCGGUAAUACGUAGGAGGCAAGCGUUGUCCGGAUUUAUUGGGCGUAAAGCGAGCGCAGGCGGUUUUUUAGGUCUGAUGUGAAAGCCUUCGGCUUAACCGGAGAAGUGCAUCGGAAACCGGGAGACUUGAGUGCAGAAGAGGACAGUGGAACUCCAUGUGUAGC
rnacentral:rRNA from 1 species